GACGAACGCUGGCGGCGUGCUUAACACAUGCAAGUCGAACGCUGAAGCUCAGCUUUUGUUGGGUGGAUGAGUGGCGAACGGGUGAGUAACACGUGAGUAACCUGCCCCCUUCUUUGGGAUAACGCCCGGAAACGGGUGCUAAUACUGGAUAUUCACUGGUCUUCGCAUGGGGGUUGGUGGAAAGGGUUUUUCUGGUGGGGGAUGGGCUCGCGGCCUAUCAGCUUGUUGGUGGGGUGAUGGCCUACCAAGGGUUUGACGGGUAGCCGGCCUGAGAGGGUGACCGGUCACGUUGGGACGGAGAUACGGCCCAGAGUCGCACGGGAGGCAGCAGUGGGGAAUAGUGCGCAAUGGGCGCAAGCCUGAUGCAGCGACGCCGCGUGAGGGAUGGAGGCCUUCGGGUUGUGAACCUCUUUCGCUCAUGGUCAAGCCGCAACAAUGGUUGUGGUGAGGGUAGUGGGUAAAGAAGCGCCGGCUAACUACGUG
rnacentral:rRNA from 1 species